rnacentral:rRNA from 1 species
CGGGGCUCAACCCCGGAACUGACAUUGAAACUAGGUGACUAGGAUCGUGGAAGGGUCAGUGGAAUUCCGAGUGUAGAGGUGAAAUUCGUAGAUAUUCGGAAGAACACCAGUGGCGAAGGCGACUGACUGGACAAGUAUUGACGCUGAGGUGCGAAAGCGUGGGGAGCAA